AUCGAUUAGAGUUUGAUCAUGGCUCAGGACGAACGCUGGCGGCGUGCCUAAUACAAGCAAGUCGAACGCUUCUUUCCUCCCGAGUGCUUGCACUCAAUUGGAAAGAGGAGUGGCGGACGGGUGAGUAACACGUGGGUAACCUACCCAUCAGAGGGGGAUAACACUUGGAAACAGGUGCUAAUACCGCAUAACAGUUUAUGCCGCAUGGCAUAAGAGUGAAAGGCGCUUUCGGGUGUCGCUGAUGGAUGGACCCGCGGUGCAUUAGCUAGUUGGUGAGGUAACGGCUCACCAAGGCCACGAUGCAUAGCCGACCUGAGAGGGUGAUCGGCCACACUGGGACUGAGACACGGCCCAGACUCCUACGGGAGGCAGCAGUAGGGAAUCUUCGGCAAUGGACGAAAGUCUGACCGAGCAACGCCGCGUGAGUGAAGAAGGUUUUCGGAUCGUAAAACUCUGUUGUUAGAGAAGAACAAGGACGUUAGUAACUGAACGUCCCCUGACGGUAUCUAACCAGAAAGCCACGGCUAACUACGUGCCAGCAGCCGCGGUAAUACGUAGGUGGCAAGCGUUGUCCGGAUUUAUUGGGCGUAAAGCGAGCGCAGGCGGUUUCUUAAGUCUGAUGUGAAAGCCCCCGGCUCAACCGGGGAGGGUCAUUGGAAACUGGGAGACUUGAGUGCAGAAGAGGAGAGUGGAAUUCCAUGUGUAGCGGUGAAAUGCGUAGAUAUAUGGAGGAACACCAGUGGCGAAGGCGGCUCUCUGGUCUGUAACUGACGCUGAGGCUCGAAAGCGUGGGGAGCAAACAGGGUUAGAUACCCUGGUAGUCCACGCCGUAAACGAUGAGUGCUAAGUGUUGGAGGGUUUCCGCCCUUCAGUGCUGCAGCAAACGCAUUAAGCACUCCGCCUGGGGAGUACGACCGCAAGGUUGAAACUCAAAGGAAUUGACGGGGGCCCGCACAAGCGGUGGAGCAUGUGGUUUAAUUCGAAGCAACGCGAAGAACCUUACCAGGUCUUGACAUCCUUUGACCACUCUAGAGAUAGAGCUUUCCCUUCGGGGACAAAGUGACAGGUGGUGCAUGGUUGUCGUCAGCUCGUGUCGUGAGAUGUUGGGUUAAGUCCCGCAACGAGCGCAACCCUUAUUGUUAGUUGCCAUCAUUUAGUUGGGCACUCUAGCGAGACUGCCGGUGACAAACCGGAGGAAGGUGGGGAUGACGUCAAAUCAUCAUGCCCCUUAUGACCUGGGCUACACACGUGCUACAAUGGGAAGUACAACGAGUCGCUAGACCGCGAGGUCAUGCGAAUCUCUUAAAGCUUCUCUCAGUUCGGAUUGCAGGCUGCAACUCGCCUGCAUGAAGCCGGAAUCGCUAGUAAUCGCGGAUCAGCACGCCGCGGUGAAUACGUUCCCGGGCCUUGUAGACACCG
rnacentral:rRNA from 1 species